rnacentral:rRNA from 1 species
ACGAACGCUGGCGGCGCGCCUAACCCAUGCAAGUCGAACGGAGCUGAGAGAAGCUUGCUUUUCUUAGCUUAGUGGCGAACGGGUGAGUAACGCGUGAGUAACCUGCCCUGGAGUGGGGGACAACAGUUGGAAACGACUGCUAAUACCGCAUAAGCCCACGAUCCGGCAUCGGAUUGAGGGAAAAGGAUUUAUUCGCUUCAGGAUGGACUCGCGUCCAAUUAGCUAGUUGGUGAGGUAACGGCCCACCAAGGCGACGAUUGGUAGCCGGACUGAGAGGUUGAACGGCCACAUUGGGACUGAGACACGGCCCAGACUCCUACGGGAGGCAGCAGUGGGGGAUAUUGCACAAUGGGGGAAACCCUGAUGCAGCGACGCCGCGUGGAGGAAGAAGGUUUUCGGAUUGUAAACUCCUGUCGUUAGGGACGAUAAUGACGGUACCUAACAAGAAAGCACCGGCUAACUACGUG